GCAACAUUGGUACUGUAGUUUCUUUGGAAGUUUUUGUAAAAUUUCUCCUAGUCUUGUAGCUUUGGUGUAACAUUAUUUUUGGUAUCUAGGGUUUCUGAACUUCGAUGACGAUGAUGAUGAAGAAGCUGAAGCAGCUGAUGAUUAUGUUCCAGCUGCUGAUGUUACCCGUAUCACUGAGAACAUUGGAUGGUCCUCUCGUACAAGGGCUGUUUCCAAAUACCUCCAAACCUUGUUUAUUAAAGAAUCUGAGCGUGGCAGAACGUCUCUCUCCAUGGACAGUUUAUUAGUUGGUAAAACACGAAAGGAGGCAUCAAGGAUGUUUUUUGAAACUUUGGUUCUUAAAACAAGAGAUUACCUUCAUGUAGAGCAAGUGAUACCCUUUGACGAUAUCACAAUAAAGCCUGGAAUGAAGCUUAUGAAAUCGGACUUUUGAAUCUGAUAUGUUUGGUAGGGAAGAAAGGAUAUAAACAUGAAGAAGUUGGUAAACAGAAAUAUGUAUUUCCUAGUAGUUAGUCAAUUGGGUCAGUUUGUGGUCUACUCUUGCUAUAGUUCAUUCUUUACAGUCAUGUUUUGAUGGUCAUGUAGUUAGGUUUUUACUUGGCUGGCAGAGUAGAUCAUUUGACACAGGUGUGUGUGUUGCAGCACUCUGUUGUACAAUGUAGAUCUUAUUUAUAUGUAAAUAUCCUGUAUAAUAUCUGGCCAUGCUUCUUUUCUAAUUU
rnacentral:misc_RNA from 1 species